GUGAACGCUGCGGCGUGCCUAAUACAUGCAAGUCGAACGCGAAAGUCCUUCGGGAUGAGUAAAGUGGCGCACGGGUGAGUAAUACAUAAGAACAUGCCCUUAAAUGGGGAAUAACGUUUGGAAACGAACGCUAAUACCGCAUAAUCUCGAGAGAGUAAAGGUGGCGCCGCAAGGGCUACCGUUUAAGGAUUGGCUUAUGUCCCAUUAGCUAGUUGGCAGGGUAAUGGCCUACCAAGGCGACGAUGGGUAACUGGUCUGAGAGGAUGAUCAGUCACACUGGAACUGAGACACGGUCCAGACUCCUACGGGAGGCAGCAGUAGGGAAUAUUGCACAAUGGGGGAAACCCUGAUGCAGCAACGCCGCGUGAGUGAAGAAGGCCCUUGGGUUGUAAAGCUCUUUAGCGAGGGAAGAGGCCGUCUACGGUGAAUAAUCGUAGAGGGUGACGGUACCUCGAGAAUAAGC
rnacentral:rRNA from 1 species